rnacentral:rRNA from 1 species
CCUACGGGUGACAGCAGUGAGGAAUAUUGGUCAAUGGGCGCGAGCCUGAACCAGCCAAGUAGCGUGAAGGAUGACUGCCCUACGGGUUGUAAACUUCUUUUAUAAAGGAAUAAAGUGAGGCACGUGUGCCUUUUUGUAUGUACUUUAUGAAUAAGGAUCGGCUAACUCCGUGACAGCAGCCGCGGUAAUACGGAGGAUCCGAGCGUUUUCCGGAUUUAUUGGGUGUAAAGGGAGCGUAGAUGGGUUGUUAAGUCAGUUGUGAAAGUUUGCGGCUCAACCGUAAAAUUGCAAUUGAUACUGGCAGCCUUGAGUACAGUUGAGGUAAGCGGAAUUCGUGGUGUAGCAGUGAAAUGCGUAGAUAUCGCGAAGAACACCGAUUGCGAAGGCAGGUUACUAAACUGCCACUGACAUUGAGGCUCGAAAGUGUGGGUAUCAAACAGGAUUAGAUACCCCAGUAGUC